UGUGAUUGGUGGAGUGGCUUCUUCUUCCACAAGAGAGAAAAGGGGUUGAAAAGGGCACUGUACCAGCAACAAAUUUAUAUUCAUGAAUGGCCUACAAGGGAGUUUAAAAUGUCUAAAAAUGUGAAGUGAAAUUGAAAAAUUGUUCACCCUUGUCUAAGCAAAGCCUAGUGGUGGUUUCUUUCCUCUUUAUCUCUCCCCUACCCUCUAGGCUAUAGUUAUUUCAAUCCACUUUACUUCAUUUGCAUGAGCCACACCCAAUUCAACACAUGGGGUGGCUGCAAUCCCUCUUCUCUCCACUGAAGAAGCUUUGGUUCAGAUUGAAUUCUACUCAGAAGAAGAGAAGAGGGCUUUACAUUCUGUAUGAAGAUGUCAAGUCUUGCCCCUAUGAAGAUGUUCAUGUCCUCUGGUCUAUACUAGUGGAAUCACAUUCAACUUCUUUACCAUCCAAACAUUGAGGGCCAUGGGCACACUACAGGAUUGAGAAGAAGAGGAUUGUAAUGUAAAUAUAUAAAAUAUUUAUAAUGUCCAUACCAGAGUGUUUUAUUUUCUUUUGACUUUUGUAGCACCAGCAAACAUAGAAUGAAUCUCAAAUUUUGUUUUCAAAGCA